AUCAGGCAGCAGCCGUCAGGGCGAGCCGACAUGGGCGCCCACCAGUACAUCCAGGAGCUGUGGAGGAAGCAGCAGUCGGGCGUGAUGCGCUUCCUGCUGCGGGUGCGCUGCUGGCAGUACCGCCAGCUCUCGGCGCUGCCCCGCGCCCCGCGCCCCACCCGGCCCGACAAGGCGCGCAGGCUGGGCUACAAGGCCAAGCAAGUCUAUGUCAUAUGCCGGAUCCAUGUGCACCGUGGGGGCCGCAAACGCCCGUUUCCUAAGGGUGCCACCUACGGCAAGCCUGUGCACCAUGGUGUCAACCAGCUCAAGUUUGCUCGAAGCCUGCAGUCGGUUGCGGAGGAGCGCGCUGGCCGCCACUGUGGGGCCCUGAGUCCUACUGGGUUGGUGAAGAUUCUACGUACAAAUUCUUUGAGGUUAUCCUCAUUGAUCCACUCCAUAAAGCUAUUAGAAGAAACCCUGACACCCAGCGGAUCACUAAAGCAGUCCACGAGCGCAGGGAGAUGCAGGGGCUGACGUCUGCAGGCAGAAAGAGCCGCGGCCUGGGCAAGGGCCACAAGUGCCACCGCACUGUCCGUGGCUCUCGCCGUGCAGCAUGGAGAAGGCGCAGUACUCUCCAGCUCCACCGCUACUGCUAA